AUGAACGCUGGCGGCAUGGAUUAGGCAUGCAAGUCGAACGGUGAUUUCCCCGCAAGGGGAAUGAUCAGUGGCGAAAGGGUGAGUAACACGUGAGCAACCUGCCCUUGAGUUCGGGAUAGCUCCGGGAAACUGGAAUUAAUACCGAAUGUGGUUUUCCACCGCAUGGUGGGAGGACUGAAGGCGAAAGCCGCUCGAGGAUGGACUCGCGUCCGAUUAGCUAGUUGGUGAGGUAAUGGCUCACCAAGGCUGUGACCGGUAGCUGGUCUGAGAGGACGAUCAGCCACACUGGGACUGAGACACUGCCCAGACUCCUACGGGAGGCUGCAGUCGAGAAUCUUCCGCAAUGGGCGAAAGCCUGACGGAGCGAUGCCGCGUGAGGGAUGAAGGCCUUCGGGUCGUAAACCUCUGUCACCCGGGACGAAGAAUGUGACGGUACCGGGAGAGGAAGCCACGGCUAACUACGU
rnacentral:rRNA from 1 species